AAUGAACGCUGGCGGCGUGCUUAACACAUGCAAGUCGAGCGGUAAGGCCCUUUCGGGGGUACACGAGCGGCGAACGGGUGAGUAACACGUGGGUGACCUGCCCUCAGCUCUGGGAUAAGCCUGGGAAACCGGGUCUAAUACCGGAUAUGACUCCAUGACGCAUGUUGUGGGGUGGAAAGCCUUGUGCGGCUGAGGAUGGGCCCGCGGCCUAUCAGCUUGUUGGUGGGGUGAUGGCCUACCAAGGCGACGACGGGUAGCCGGCCUGAGAGGGCGACCGGCCACACUGGGACUGAGACACGGCCCAGACUCCUACGGGAGGCAGCAGUGGGGAAUCUUGCGCAAUGGGCGAAAGCCUGACGCAGCGACGCCGCGUGAGGGAUGACGGCCU
rnacentral:rRNA from 1 species